rnacentral:rRNA from 1 species
UACGUAGGGUGCAGGCGUUAAUCGGAAUUACUGGGCGUAAAGCGUGCGCAGGCGGUCUUUUAAGUCAGAUGUGAAAUCCCCGGGCUUAACCUGGGAACUGCGUCCGAUACUGGAAGGCUUGAAUCCGGGAGAGGGAUGCGGAAUUCCAGGUGUAGCGGUGAAAUGCGUAGAUAUCUGGAGGAACACCGGUGGCGAAGGCGGCAUCCUGGACCGGUAUUGACGCUGACGGCGCGAAAGCCAGGGGAGCAAAGCGGG